GCUGAGCAAGAAGCAGUUGGAUGCAGUGGACUUGGAGUGAUACACGCCCUGUUAGGAACCACCUUAGGUGUGGGAAGUGUAGGCGGUGUGUGGGGCUGUACUUGGCUAUUGGGCUGUCCUGUCCAUGCGCCUAGUUGCGCCUAGUUGCGAGUAGUUAGCAUAGGCCUUGUGAUCGCGUUCAGGGAUCCAUCAUAACACUCAUUCAUUUGGUAUGCUGCAGUACCAUAUGCAGUUCCAGCAUGGAUCGAGCGUGUGAUUGUAGAUAUGUUGUAGGUAUAAGUGCUGGCAUGGUGGACCUGACCUCAUAUGUGUGUCUGCCCGAAUGGGAAAGUGGUCUGCUGUGAGAAUCGGGCUCUAGUGAGAUGGUGGCCCUAGGUUUUUGUUGGGCAUACCUCUGUUUGAAGGCGCCCUUAAGAACGGUUUAAGAAUGCUGGGGGACGGAAUGCUUGAGAACACUGUAACAACGCUUGAGAACGCUGCAAGAAUACUUGAGAAUGCUGUGAGAACGCUUGAGAACGCUGUAAGAGCGCUUGAGAAUGCUGUAAGAACGCUUAAGAAUGGUGAGAGAACGGUGUAAGAACGCUUGAGAACGCUGUAAGAACGCUUAAGAAUGGUGAGAGAACGGUGUAAGAACGCUUGAGAACGCUUUAAGAACGCUUAAGAAUGGUGAGAGAACGGUGUAAGAACGCUUGAGAACGCUUUAAGAACGCUUAAGAAUGGUGAGAGAAUGCUGUAAGAACGCUUGAGAACGCUUUAAGAACGCUUAAGAAUGGUGAGAGAAUGCUGUAAGAACGCUUGAGAACGCUUUAAGAACGCUUAAGAAUGGUGAGAGAACGGUGUAAGAACGCUUGAGAACACUGUAAGAACGCUUAAGAAUGGUGAGAGAACGCUGUAAGAACGCUUGAGAACGCUUUAAGAACGCUUAAGAAUGGUGAGAGAACGGUGUAAGAACGCUUGAGAACGCUUUAAGAACGCUUAAGAAUGGUGAGAGAACGGUGUAAGAAUGCUUGAGAGUGGUGAAAGAUUGCUUAAGAAUGCGUGAGAAAAUGGUUUGAGAAUGUCCUUGAGAACGGGUAAGAUCGCUGAGAACGCUUGAGAUUCCCUGCAAAGAGCGCUCUCUUGAGAUCGCUUAAGAACGCUUGAGAAGGCACAAUCUUAAAACAUGGCAGAUAAGAGCGUUCUCAGAACGCUCUUAACAGCGGCAUCUACUUGUGCUUUAUAUGGCUUAAGAUCGCGUUGAGAGCGCUCUUAAAGCGGUUUCAUUUUGGUAGGGGUAUUUGAUUAAAUGGGAAGGUUACGACUCUAGUCAUAAUACCUAUGAACCAGAGGAAUCCCUUCGCCAGUCUACUCCCUUGGCGGAAUCCAUCGACGAAUAUGAACGCAAACUUGCGUCUAAGAAGCACCCUCAAGCCCCGGAAAAACCUAAGGGACGGAAAACUUCUAAGAAGAAGUAACGCUCCCGGGACGGUUCACUUCAGAGGGGGAAGACUGUAGCAGGCUACAUUUCCCUUAGAAUAUUUCAACAAUUACUUUUAACAAUAACUGUUAAUUCGUUAACGAUUCGUCUCAAGUUUCGUACAUGUUACGAGCUUCGUCACAUGUACCGAACAUGGCGGUUGUUCGUAAGUGAACCUAACGGGCUGGGGCCCCGGGCCCCACCAACAUUAUCCUAGUACGGCAAGUCCGUGGUAGGGAAUCUCCGGCAGGUAGGCCGAGAUAUAAGCUNNNNNNNNNNNNNNNNNNNNNNNNNNNNNNNNNNNNNNNNNNNNNNNNNNUUCGUACCCUAAAAAGAACUUCCGUCUGCGUGCUUGUAACUGCCGCCUGGCCUCUUACCCCCUAUGAACAUACAGGAUGGCGAGACCGCUGACGGCUGCACUGAUCUCCUGGUGAUUGGCCGCGCCAUGGCAGUCAUCAAGGACCUUGGCACUGUGCACAUUCCCCCGACUGGCCAGUCCUUUGCACUAAACGACCGGCCACUCCGCCUCUUCCAGAAGGUAAAUCAAGGUUGAGCUGAGAUACCGUGUCUGCAUCACAUGUGUUGACUUUGUUCUGGUUGCUUCUGUCUGCAGGUGCGAUGGCCCAUUGUGGGAUUGCUCGCAGUCAAGGGCAAGAUGACCGCAGUCCAGUGGGCCAUGAGGACCACUGGGCUGAGCAAGAAGCAGUUGGAUGCAGUGGACUUGGAGUGAUACACGCCCUGUUAGGAACCACCUUAGGUGUGGGAAGUGUAGGCGGUGUGUGGGGCUGUACUUGGCUAUUGGGCUGUCCUGUCCAUGCGCCUAGUUGCGCCUAGUUGCGAGUAGUUAGCAUAGGCCUUGUGAUCGCGUUCAGGGAUCCAUCAUAACACUCAUUCAUUUGGUAUGCUGCAGUACCAUAUGCAGUUCCAGCAUGGAUCGAGCGUGUGAUUGUAGAUAUGUUGUAGGUAUAAGUGCUGGCAUGGUGGACCUGACCUCAUAUGUGUGUCUGCCCGAAUGGGAAAGUGGUCUGCUGUGAGAAUCGGGCUCUAGUGAGAUGGUGGCCCUAGGUUUUUGUUGGGCAUACCUCUGUUUGAAGGCGCCCUUAAGAACGGUUUAAGAAUGCUGGGGGACGGAAUGCUUGAGAACACUGUAACAACGCUUGAGAACGCUGCAAGAAUACUUGAGAAUGCUGUGAGAACG
rnacentral:lncRNA from 1 species